rnacentral:lncRNA from 1 species
CGUGGGUCUGGCUUUUGAAGCUCAUUCAUCUGGCAGCUGGCAGAGUAGAUGGGAGGCUGUGUGUGAUGUCACAGAGCUGGGAACCAGGGAAUGUUGGGGACAGAGGAGCCUGGACUGGACCAUAAAUGUCAGAAGGAGGUGGGAUCUCUCAUGACCUUCUCCUCAGUGGCCCUUCCCUCUGUCCCCCAUGUCUGUCAGGUUGGCUGGGGUGGUUUUACUUCAUGUGUCUCUCAUCCUUCUUGGAUUAUCAGGGCAGCUAGGCCAUGUUCUUCUCAGGAGGGUGCCAGAGGCAAGAGAGGGAGCCUCACCAGGAAAAUCAUGUCUGCUGGAGUCUCAUGUGUUAAGUUUCUAUUGGCCAAGCAAUGCAUGAUGGAGCCCAGAGGAAUGAAUAUACGCUUCACCCAAGAAGAUAUGGCAGAGAAGAUUUGGGGCCAAUACUUUGCUAUGCCACAGACUUCUGAGGGAAAUCAUCUAUAAGGUGUAUGAACAGCAAUACUGUUUAUGGCUUGUUCUUACUAUGGAAACCAGACUCUUCAAUGCCAAAUGGGACCAAGGCUAAUUGUUCUGUGUGACAAACACACCAUUCCAAGUGGGUGACUCUUAGGUUAAAUUUUUUUUC